GAUGAACGCUAGCUACAGGCUUAACACAUGCAAGUCGAGGGGAAACGACAUCGAAAGCUUGCUUUUGAUGGGCGUCGACCGGCGCACGGGUGAGUAACGCGUAUCCAACCUGCCCAUCACUUGGGAAUAACCUUGCGAAAGUAAGACUAAUACCCAAUGAUAUCCCACGAAGGCAUCGGAAUGGGAUUAAAGAUUUAUCGGUGAUGGAUGGGGAUGCGUCUGAUUAGCUUGUUGGCGGGGUAACGGCCCACCAAGGCAACGAUCAGUAGGGGUUCUGAGAGGAAGGUCCCCAACAUUGGAACUGAGACACGGUCCAAACUCCUACGGGAGGCAGCAGUGAGGAAUAUUGGUCAAUGGGCGAGAGCCUGAACCAGCCAAGUAGCGUGCAGGAAGACGGCCCUAUGGGUUGUAAACUGCUUUUAUAAGGGAAUAAAGUGGGUCACGUGUGACUUUUUGCAUGUACCUUAUGAAUAAGGACCGGCUAAUUCCGUG
rnacentral:rRNA from 1 species